rnacentral:tRNA from 1 species
GCCGAAGUGGUGGAAUUGGUAGACACGCUAGGUUCAGGGUCUAGUGAGGGCAACCUUGUGGGAGUUCGACUCUCCCCUUCGGCACCA